rnacentral:tmRNA from 1 species
GGGGGCGACUUGGCUUCGAUCAGGUCGCUGAACUGGUGAGGAAGCAUAUGGAGCCACGGUCGUGACCUCCUAAAACUGUUCGACCACCCCAUAUCUGCCAACUCCGAUGUGAAGCAGAACGAGUUCGCCCUCGCGGCAUGAACUCCGGUGACCAGGUGUACGCCGUCGAUGCCUGACUCACCGUCAUAAGGACGGCUGGCCCACCGCGCGACUUCCCGAGAGCGCAAUGGGCGAGAACUUUCUCGGGAUAGAUCAUCACUACGGCGCCGACUCCGAGUGGUGCUCGAAACACUGAUGUCGGCUGAACAUGGAGAUGCCUCACCUGUUGCGAUCUGAGACGCGGGUUCGAUUCCCGCCGCCUCCAC